AUCAGACACGGUGCCAGCCGCCGCGGUAAUACGUAGGGGGCAAGCGUUAUCCGGAUUUACUGGGUGUAAAGGGAGCGUAGACGGAGAAGCAAGUCUGGAGUGAAAGCCCGGGGCUCAACCCCGGGACUGCUUUGGAAACUGUGCUGCUGGAGUGCAGGAGAGGUAAGUGGAAUUCCUAGUGUAGCGGUGAAAUGCGUAGAUAUUAGGAGGAACACCAGUGGCGAAGGCGG
rnacentral:rRNA from 1 species